rnacentral:rRNA from 1 species
UACGUAGGGUGCAAGCGUUGUCCGGAUUUAUUGGGCGUAAAGGGCGCGUAGGCGGUUUCUUAAGUUUGGAGUGACAGUGGGUGGCUUAACUACCCAAGGCCUUUGAAAACUGGGGAACUUGAGGACCAGAGAGGGACAUAGAAUUCCGGGUGGAGUGGUGAAAUGCGUAGAUAUCCGGAGGAAUACCAAAGGCGAAGGCAGUGUCCUGGAGGGUGACUGACGCUGAGGCGCGAAAGCUAGGGGAGCGAACAGGA